GCUAUAUGAGCCCCAGGCAUGCUAUCAGAGAGCUCCUUGUGCUUGGGCUGCUCCUUGGGCCUUGGAGAGAUGAAGUCCCCAUGGUGUGGAGUGGUGCAAAAAGGUAAGAGGGUUGUCAGCCGGGUCAGUUUCCUUCACCAAUGCUAAGGCAAGUCUUUAAAGAGAAACAGCCUGGUUGCUUGUGCUGCACCCUGUUGAACUAAGCCAGACCAAAAACAGGGCUGCUGUUCCUCCUGCUCUCUUUACCUCUUCUCAUCUUGCAGAGGAAUGGUCCAGCAAUUCGGGUUAAUAGGGGACAAGAGAACAAAGGGGUUUCAGAAUAACUGCUAACUGUUAUGACUAUUGCAUGGGGCACUAUGCAAGUCUCUGACAUCCAGCCAAGAUGGACAAAGGAGAAGGACAAGGGAAAAGCCUGGGAGGAAGACUGUGAGCCUUCGGUACGAGAGACCCGCAGAGGGACCACCAGAGACUGAUAACACAUGCGCCAGUGGGCGGGUUCGGAUUCCAGGAACUAGUUAUAAUAACCCUGCCUUUUCUAGAAGUAGUAAUGAAUAUGUAUUAGCCUAGGAGCAUAAAAACCAGCCGCCUGC